rnacentral:misc_RNA from 1 species
GAUGAAGAACGUAGUGAAAUGCGAUAAGUAAUGUGAAUUGCAGAAUUCAGUGAAUCAUCGAAUCUUUGAACGCACAUUGCGCCCGCCAGUAUUCUGGCGGGCAUGCCUGUUCGAGCGUCAUUUCAACCAUCAAGCCCCCGGCUUGUGUUGGGGACCUGCGGCUGCCGCAGGCCCUGAAAACCAGUGGCGGGCUCGCUAGUCACUCCGAGCGUAGUAAUACAUCUCGCUCAGGGCGUGCUGCGGGUUCCGGCCGUUAAAAAGCCUUACUUACCCAAGGUUGACCUCGGAUCAGGUAGGAAGACCCGCUGAACUUAAGCAUAUCAAUAAGCGGAGGA